CUUGAGCGACCCCAGCAGCAGCGGACGGUCCGCGUCGCGGCCCUGCCCGUAGGUGGCCAGCAGCGCCUGGGCCUC
rfam:Streptomyces autolyticus strain CGMCC0516, complete genome.